rnacentral:rRNA from 1 species
UAUGACGCUGGCGGCAGGCCUAACACAUGCAAGUCGAACGGUAACAUUUCUAGCUUGCUAGAAGAUGACGAGUGGCAGGACGGGUGAGUAAUGCUUGGGAACUUGCCUUUGCGAGGGGGAUAACAGUUGGAAACGACUGCUAAUACCGCAUAAUGUCUUCGGACCAAACGGGGCUUCGGCUCCGGCGCAAAGAGAGGCCCAAGUGAGAUUAGCUAGUUGGUAAGGUAACGGCUUACCAAGGCGACGAUCUCUAGCUGUUCUGAGAGGAAGAUCAGCCACACUGGGACUGAGACACGGCCCAGACUCCUACGGGAGGCAGCAGUGGGGAAUAUUGCACAAUGGGGGAAACCCUGAUGCAGCCAUGCCGCGUGUGUGAAGAAGGCCUUCGGGUUGUAAAGCACUUUCAGUUGUGAGGAAAAGUUAGUAGCUAAUACCUGCUAGCCGUGACGUUAACAACAGAAGAAGCCCGGCUAACUCCGUGCCAGCAGCCGCGGUAAUACGGAGGGUGCGAGCGUUAAUCGGAAUUACUGGGCGUAAAGCGCACGCAGGCGGUUUGUUAAGCUAGAUGUGAAAGCCCCGGGCUCAACCUGGGAUGGUCAUUUAGAACUGGCAGACUAGAGUCUUGGAGAGGGGAGUGGAAUUCCAGGUGUAGCGGUGAAAUGCGUAGAUAUCUGGAGGAACAUCAGUGGCGAAGGCGACUCCCUGGCCAAAGACUGACGCUCAUGUGCGAAAGUGUGGGUAGCGAACAGGAUUAGAUACCCUGGUAGUCCACACCGUAAACGCUGUCUACUAGCUGUGUGUGCCUUUAAGGCGUGCGUAGCGAAGCUAACGCGCUAAGUAGACCGCCUGGGGAGUACGGCCGCAAGGUUA